rnacentral:rRNA from 1 species
UGGGGAAUAUUGGACAAUGGGGGCAACCCUGAUCCAGCAAUGCCGCGUGUGUGAAGAAGGUCUUCGGAUUGUAAAGCACUUUCGACGGGGACGAUGAUGACGGUACCCGUAGAAGAAGCCCCGGCUAACUUCGUGCCAGCAGCCGCGGUAAUACGAAGGGGGCUAGCGUUGCUCGGAAUGACUGGGCGUAAAGGGCGUGUAGGCGGUUUACACAGUCAGAUGUGAAAUCCCCGGGCUUAACUUGGGAGCUGCAUUUGAUACGUGUAGACUAGAGUGUGAGAGAGGGUUGUGGAAUUCCCAGUGUAGAGGUGAAAUUCGUAGAUAUUGGGAAGAACACCGGUGGCGAAGGCGGCAACCUGGCUCAUGACUGACGCUGAGGCGCGAAAGCGUGGGGAGCAAACAGGAUUAGAUACCCUGGUAGUCCACGCUGUAAACGAUGUGUGCUAGAUGUUGGGUAACUUUGUUAUUCAGUGUCGCAGUUAACGCGUUAAGCACACCGCCUGGGGAGUACGGCCGCAAGGUUGAAACUCUAAAGUGAAUUGAC